rnacentral:pre_miRNA from 1 species
AGGAGGAACAGCCCCAGUGGCGGGGCAGCUCUGGAAACCUGGAGUCAGCCCCCGCAGGAACUCCGGAGCUCUCCGUCUGCAGGGCCUGGAGGCUCCAGGGCGGG